rnacentral:lncRNA from 1 species
CUCAGGACUAGGAAAGAUUUGCGCAUCGGGGUAGGGAUUUGCACUAAAGGCAGUGAAUGGUUCACCGCCUUCACAACAAAAUUACAAAGACGGUAAAUAAUUCACCGUCUUUAUAAAAAAAUUCCCACGUGGCGCUCAUGUGGCGGGAGCAGGGUUAGUUCUCCAAAUAAUUUUUUCAUAAGGUCAUUUUUCAAAUUUUAAAAUUUUGGAGGGUCAUUUUAUAAAAA